GGCCUUCAUCGCACACGCGGGAUGGCUGGAUCAGGGUUUCCCCCAUUGUCCAAAAUUCCCCACUGCUGCCUCCCGUAGGAGUCUGGGCCGUGUCUCAGUCCCAGUGUGGCUGGUCGUCCUCUCAAACCAGCUACGGAUCGUCGCCUUGGUGAGCCGUUACCCCACCAACUAGCUAAUCCGAUAUCGGCCGCUCUAAUAGUGCAAGGUCUUGCGAUCCCCUGCUUUCCCCCGUAGGGCGUAUGCGGUAUUAGCUACGCUUUCGCGUAGUUAUCCCCCGCUACUAGGCACGUUCCGAUACAUUACUCACCCGUUCGCCACUCGCCACCAGACCGAAGUCCGUGCUGCCGUUCGACUUGCAUGUGUAAGGCAUCCCGCUAGCGUUCAUC
rnacentral:rRNA from 1 species